ensembl:misc_RNA 7SK 7SK RNA
GGAUGUGAGGGCAAUCUAGCUGUGACAUCUGUCACCCUAUUGAUCGCCAGGGUUGAUUCGGCUCAUCUGGCUGGCUAAGCGGGUGUCCCCUUCCUCCCUCACCGCUCCAUGUGCGUCCCUCUCAAAGCUGUGCGCUCGGUCAAAGAGCAUGGACUUCAAUGAAUAGAGACGGACCGGUCUUCUGCUGAGGGUAUAUGAUAGCUGUGCUCCCCUGCUAGAACGUCCAAACAAGCUCUACAUACAUCUGUCUAUGCUCUUAAUGUCAGCCGUGUGCUAAUUAUGUUCCCGUCCCAUAAAUCCUUUUGCUCACUCUGAGUAAAAA